AGCUGGUCCAAGUGCAGUGAUGACGUUUCCAACUAAUCGGUCACAACCAGUCACAGAUUUCUUUGUUCUUUCUCCACUCUCAGUGCUUCACUUGACUACCCUUAA
ensembl:misc_RNA Y_RNA Y RNA